rnacentral:rRNA from 1 species
UACGUAGGGUACGAGCGUUGUCCGGAAUUAUUGGGCGUAAAGAGCUCGUAGGUGGUUGGUCACGUCUGCUGUGGAAACGCAACGCUUAACGUUGCGCGUGCAGUGGGUACGGGCUGACUAGAGUGCAGUAGGGGAGUCUGGAAUUCCUGGUGUAGCGGUGAAAUGCGCAGAUAUCAGGAGGAACACCGGUGGCGAAGGCGGAUCUCUGGGCCUUACCUGACGCUCAGGCGCGAAAGCGUGGGGAGCGAACAGG